GGUUCCAGAAGGUAGGAAGCUCCUGAGGAGGACUCCUCAAGGGACUGGAUAGGGAAAAAAGGAAAUCUAGGAAAGGUGCUCUGGAGAGAGGCACUUCUGAAAGGGAAGAACUAGGAGUGCUAAUCCCCUUGGGAGAACUGGCCUCACCCAAAGGACUUUACCAGACUGACAGAUGGUUGAAAGUGCAGAGAUGCUAUAUGCCAUUCUGGAGGAGAGCUGUAGCAUUUUGAUCUCUUCAGGAGCUUGGAGUCUAGAGAAGAACCCUUCUUCUGGAGGAUAGUAAGAUGGGGAGGAGGCUAAACUUGGGUGGUUGUUUUUUGCUGACUACAAAGUAGUUUUGCUGAAGAAAAUUGAUAGAUGAGGCCUGAAUUCAAUUUAACUUGCACCUUCAAGGACCUGAUGCAAUGACCAUUGAAACUGAUGGGAAGACUUCUGGGUUUCAGUGCAUGGUGGAUCAGACCCUAAAUCAGGAUUUAAGUCUUUUUACAUUUUGCAACAGGAGCAAAGGGGUGGUGUCAUGAUCUCAAAGCACAUGGACUGCAUUGUAGGAGUCUUCCUGGCAUCCAAACCUGUACGUAUGAUGACUACUUCUUCUGGGACUUCAUGCUAUGCCAAGUAUGCAGAAGAAGUAGCUACACAACUGGAAAUGAAUCCCAUGGCAGUUCAAGAGGAACU